UUGAACGCUGGCGGCAGGCCUAACACAUGCAAGUCGAGCGGAUGAAGGGAGCUUGCUCCUGGAUUCAGCGGCGGACGGGUGAGUAAUGCCUAGGAAUCUGCCUGGUAGUGGGGGAUAACGUCCGGAAACGGGCGCUAAUACCGCAUACGUCCUGAGGGAGAAAGUGGGGGAUCUUCGGACCUCACGCUAUCAGAUGAGCCUAGGUCGGAUUAGCUAGUUGGUGGGGUAAAGGCCUACCAAGGCGACGAUCCGUAACUGGUCUGAGAGGAUGAUCAGUCACACUGGAACUGAGACACGGUCCAGACUCCUACGGGAGGCAGCAGUGGGGAAUAUUGGACAAUGGGCGAAAGCCUGACCCAGCCAUGCCGCGUGUGUGAAGAAGGUCUUCGGAUUGUAAAGCACUUUAAGUUGGGAGGAAGGGCAGUAAGUUAAUACCUUGCUGUUUUGACGUUACCAACAGAAUAAGCACCGGCUAACUUCGUG
rnacentral:rRNA from 1 species